GAUGAACGCUGGCGGCGUGCCUAAUACAUGCAAGUCGAGCGAACGGACGAGAAGCUUGCUUCUCUGAUGUUAGCGGCGGACGGGUGAGUAACACGUGGAUAACCUACCUAUAAGACUGGGAUAACUUCGGGAAACCGGAGCUAAUACCGGAUAAUAUUUUGAACGGCAUGGUUCAAAAGUGAAAGACGGUCUUGCUGUCACUUAUAGAUGAAUCCGCGCUGCAUUAGCUAGUUGGUAAGGUAACGGCUUACCAAGGCAACGAUGCAUAGCCGACCUGAGAGGGUGAUCGGCCACACUGGAACUGAGACACGGUCCAGACUCCUACGGGAGGCAGCAGUAGGGAAUCUUCCGCAAUGGGCGAAAGCCUGACGGAGCAACGCCGCGUGAGUGAUGAAGGUCUUCGGAUCGUAAAACUCUGUUAUUAGGGAAGAACAUAUGUGUAAGUAACUGUGCACAUCUUGACGGUACCUAAUCAGAAAGCCACGGCUAACUACGUG
rnacentral:rRNA from 1 species